rnacentral:tRNA from 1 species
GCCAAAGUAGCAUAGUGGUUUGUGUGCUGGACUAUGACUCUGGAGACCAGGAUUCAAUUCUCAGCUCAGCCA